rnacentral:tRNA from 1 species
GGAGCUGUGCCUGAAAUAAAGGGCCACUUUGAUGUAGUGCCUCAUGAGGGUUAAAGUCCCUCCAACUCCU